GGGAAGGAGAGGCUGGGAUGUUGUCUUCUAUGGAAAGAAAUUGAUAGAUUGUGAAGAGCUGCCUCUGAGAAACAGCCACAAACAGGUUGAGAGCUUGUGGGUAAAACUCAGGGACAGGACCAAUAAAGGACACGUUAUGGUUAGGGUCUACUUCAGGCCACUUGACGAAAGGAAGCCUGUUGACAGGGUCCUCUUGAUUCAGGUACAAGAAGCAUCACAUUCACAGGCUCUCAUCCUAAUGGGGGACUUCGACCACCCUGAUGUCUGCUAGGAAAGCAACACAGCAGGCUGUAAGCAAUCCGGGAGACUCUUAGAGCAUGUUGAGGAUAACUUUCUGGUCCAGGUCCUGCUGAAAUGACCACAAUUGCAAUGUGAUGGGCUCUUCCCACAGAGAUGGUUCUUACUUCAGCUGCCUAUGCAAGUUGUUGCUAUCGUAACCUGCUUUAAGGCAUCGUGCUGAACACGGAUUCAAUUUCUAAAGCACCUGAAGGUACUGUCAGUAUUAAGGAAGCAUGCCAAAGCUGUCAUCGAGUAGUCUACAGCAAAAGAUGGUACAAAGCUGAGCUGCAAGUCAAAAAUUAAGAAUCUUUUAAGAUGUUCAACAGAAAGUGAUGUAGCCAUAAGGACUUACCCAGAGCGAAAACCGCUGUAGCAGUUACACUGAACAUAGAGCACAGAAGAGAACAUUCUGAUAGUGUUAAAAAAACAGACCUUUAUACCUUAAAUUGAUUCCCUCCUGGAAAAUAUUUUAUUUUUCAUUUCAUGAAAACUGCCAAUUAUGGAAGUUCCAGAGUAAACAUGUGAGUCGUUU